AGCGAACGCUGGCGGCAGGCCUAACACAUGCAAGUCGAACGAACCGUUUACGGUGAGUGGCGCACGGGUGAGUAACACGUGGGAAUAUACAUUUCGGUAAGGAAUAACGUAGAGAAAUUUACGCUAAUACCUUAUAAUGACUACGGUCCAAAGAUUUAUCGCCGAAGGAUUAGCCCGCGUUAGAUUAGGUAGUUGGUAGGGUAAUGGCCUACCAAGCCUACGAUCUAUAGCUGGUCUUAGAGGAUGAUCAGCCACACUGGAACUGAGACACGGUCCAGACUCCUACGGGAGGCAGCAGUGAGGAAUAUUGCGCAAUGGGGGAAACCCCGACGCAGCCAUGCCGCGUGAGUGACGAAGGCCUUAGGGUUGUAAAGCUCUUUCAGAUGUAAAGAUAAUGACGGUAACAUCAGAAGAAGCUCCGGCUAAAUUCGUGCCAGCAGCCGCGGUAA
rnacentral:rRNA from 1 species